rnacentral:tRNA from 1 species
GAGGCUAUAGCUCAGUGGUAGAGAGCAUGCUUAGCAUGCACAAGGUCCUGGGUUCAAUCCCCAGUAUCUCA